GGCUGUUGGCCCCUCUUGGCCGCCAUCGCCGCGCCCCGAGGGAAACUGACAUGAAACGGACUCGUUGAGGAAAAGACAGAGAAUGCAGCCUCUGGUGCUGUUUGAGUGAUCCCUCUCCCCCGGGCCUGGCCGCGUGCUGCUGUGUUCUGGAAAGGCUCAUUGUACAGUCAAGACGGCAGACUAGCCCUAACUUGCAACUUCCACAUGCAGUCCUCCACAAUACUGCCAGAGCAACAGCUACAACU
rnacentral:lncRNA from 1 species